AAACUCAGACAUAUAUAGAGAGACAGACAGAGAGACAUAGACACAGAGAUAUAUUGAGACAGGCAGACAAACUCAGACAUAUAGAGAGAGACAGACAGAGAGACAUAGACACGGACAUAUAUAGAGACAGAGAGACAUAGACACGGAUAUAUAUAGAGACAGACAGACAUAGACACAGACAUAUAUAGAGACAGACAGAUAUAAACACAGACAUAUAGUGAGAGACUCACAGAGAGAUAUAGACACAGGCAGACAGACAUAGAGAGAAAGACAGACAGACAUAGGCAGAUUACUGAAGCAGAUUAAACAGAGAUUGAUACAUACCGAUAGCUUGAAAAAAGCACUGAUUUUUGCUAAUGGGUAUACGCGUAGCUGCACAGAAUAUAAUGCCCCCAGCUAG